UACGUAGGGACCGAGCGUUGUCCGGAAUCAUUGGGCGUAAAGAGCGUGUAGGCGGCCUUUUAAGUCCUGCGUGAAAUCCUGCGGCUCAACCGCAGACGGUCGUGGGAAACUGGAAGGCUAGAGUGCGGGAGAGGAGAGUGGAAUUCCCGGUGUAGCGGUGAAAUGCGCAGAUAUCGGGAAGAACACCCGUGGCGAAGGCGGCUCUCUGGAACGCAACUGACGCUGAGACGCGAAGGCGUGGGGAGCGAACGGG
rnacentral:rRNA from 1 species